rnacentral:misc_RNA from 1 species
GGAGAGUGGAAUUCCAUGUGUAGCGGUGAAAUGCGUAGAUAUAUGGAGGAACACCGGUGGCGAAAGCGGCUCUCUGGUCUGUAACUGACGCUGAGGCUCGAAAGCGUGGGGAGCGAACAGGAUUAGAUACCCUGGUAGUCCACGCCGUAAACGAUGAGUGCUAGGUGUUGGGUCCUUUCCGGGACUCAGUGCCGCAGCUAACGCAUUAAGCACUCCGCCUGGGGAGUACGACCGCAAGGUUGAAACUCAAAGGAAUUGACGGGGGCCCGCACAAGCGGUGGAGCAUGUGGUUUAAUUCGAAGCAACGCGAAGAACCUUACCAGGUCUUGACAUCCCGAUGACCGCCCUAGAGAUAGGGUUUCUCUUCGGAGCAUCGGUGACAGGUGGUGCAUGGUUGUCGUCAGCUCGUGUCGUGAGAUGUUGGGUUAAGUCCCGCAACGAGCGCAACCCCUAUUGUUAGUUGCCAUCAUUCAGUUGGGCACUCUAGCGAGACUGCCGGUAAUAAACCGGAGGAAGGUGGGGAUGACGUCAAAUCAUCAUGCCCCUUAUGACCUGGGCUACACACGUGCUACAAUGGCUGGUACAACGAGUCGCAAGUCGGUGACGGCAAGCUAAUCUCUUAAAGCCAGUCUCAGUUCGGAUUGUAGGCUGCAACUCGCCUACAUGAAGUCGGAAUCGCUAGUAAUCGCGGAUCAGCACGCCGCGGUGAAUACGUUCCCGGGCCUUGUACACACCGCCCGUCACACCACGAGAGUUUGUAACACCCGAAGUCGGUGAGGUAACCUUUUAGGAGCCAGCCGCCUAAGGUGGGAUAGAUGAUUGGGGUGAAGUCGUAACAAGGUAGCCGUAUCGGAAGGUGCGGCUGGAUCACCUCCUUUCUAAGGAAAUGGAAACCUGUACGUUAGUCUUCUUUAAUUUUGAGAGGUCUUGUGGGGCCUUAGCUCAGCUGGGAGAGCGCCUGCUUUGCACGCAGGAGGUCAGCGGUUCGAUCCCGCUAGGCUCCAUUAACAACGGAAGUUGUUAAGAUUUUGUCCAUUGAAAAUUGAAUAUCUAUCAAACAUUCCUGAUGUAUCUGAAAGGAUACAUUAAGAAAUAGUAACAAGAAAAUAAACCGAAAACGCUGUGAAUAUUUAAUGAGUUUUCUAAUUUUUGAAAAAAUUAGGUUAAAACAAGUUACGAAGACGUUAAGGAAAACGUAUGAUUUUAGGAAAUCAUCGCAGUAGUCUAAGGACUACAAGAGGAUUUGUCUAAAUCACUAGUUUUCUAGUCUGAGUACGAUUAUAAGGUUAAGUUAAUAAGGGCGCACGGUGGAUGCCUUGGCACUAGAAGCCGAUGAAGGACGUGACUAACAACGAAAUGCCUUGGGGAGCUGUAAGUAAGCAAUGAU